CACCGUGUAAGCUCGGCCUGCCUGCCUCCAGGAGCUCGCGUCGAUGCCCGCCGCCACGAGCCCGGCUCCAGGGGCUCCAAGAGAGAUCACGGCAGGGUUCCCUCCCCGCCGACGGAGCUCCUUCUUUCACCGGAGCUCCCUUACCCGCCGGAUCCGACCCCCUCCAGACCAACUCCGGCCUCGACCGGCUCUGCUCCGGGCAGCGACGUCGUGCAAGCAGCGCAGAUGGCGAUGGGGUGGCGUUCCGUGCAGCACCUUCACCGUGCGAAUCGGCGUGACACUUGACAUCUUUGCAAUUAGCUGCUUGUGCCGCACAUUUGAGCUGACCAUCUAGACGAUGACUUCCGAGGAUGUUACUUCCAUUUUGCGGUUAGUCCUCGUUCCUGCCUUGCAAUCAUAUAGACACAGAGAGGAUAGCGUGCAUUGUAGAUUUGCAGCUUGUAAUUUUCAACAGUAGCAGUGCACUUGCAGGUUUGCUUCAGGGAUGUAUGGUCAGGGAAACAAGCAUAUAUGCUUGGCACACUGAUGUCUGAAGAAAUUAACAUGGGAUGUUCAGAUAUAUUGUUGAGGAAUUAGGUAGUGUGCUACCAAGGAACUGUAUGUGUCGUGUAUGAUUAGCAAUUGUGCAAUAAUAUAGAUACAGAGAAGAACCAGCAAUUAAAGAUUGAUUUCCAUCAAAGGCUCGUGUGCAUUUCAGAUUUGCAGGUUGUAGUAUUCAACAGUAGUAAUGCACUUGCAGAUGUGCUUCAUGGAUGUAUGGGUAGGGAGACAAUGAUGCAUAUAUGCCUGACACACUAAUGCCUGAAGAAAUUAGUGCAAUGCUCAGACAUAUUUGUUGAAGAAUUAGGUUGUGUGCUACCGGGUAAUUCUGUAAUUGUAUGUUCCUUGUAUGAUUAUUAGGCGUUGUGCAACUUAACAAUGGGUAACUACUAAACUUUGCAGUGCAAUUUUACAAUGAAUAACUUCUAAAGUUUAUAGUGGUAGUCUUGCCUAGGCAGACCAUGUAGUAUUGUAGUGAAAUAUGUGCUAAUUAAACAUGAC
rnacentral:lncRNA from 1 species